CCUCCGUAUAAGCAUGCCUUGUGGGUGAGGAAGGCACAUAUGUACCUUUAGUCACAGCGGCACUGUAUGUCUGUGCUACCAACGGCCGGUCAUGGGAUGCAGACUCCAGGAUCUCGUUGGCUGGCUCCAUGCUGCCAUCGAGCUUGUGCUGCUUCAUUAGUGUGCACUCUCCUCCUUCUUGGGGGUCUAGGUUGUACAUGUAGAGAUACCCAUCAGCAGCUCCCACCAAUAAACGAGGGAUCUUCUGAAUUGUGGCAAGUGCACAGAUAUUUUUGUGCCCACAGAAUGGCAGGCGGACUGUAGCAAAGGCUCUACCCUGGUUGAACAUUUCCGUUACUUGAGAGGGCAGAUAGCUUGUUGAGGCCAUGAGCACUUUUCCGAAGUAACCCGUCCAGGUUGUAGGCUCUUCCUGAGGUUUUUCUUUCACAGUCUCAAGUUUGAAGAUGUGCACUGUCUCUGUGUUGCUGGAUGCAGACAGAAACAUGCCAUCCAUGCUGAAAGCCAACGAACAGAUGCUCACACACCUCUUCACUCCCCUCCGGAAUUCAAAGAGUUUCUGUCCCUCUGGAAUGGAAAACACUCUUAUCACUGUCCCCUUUUCUGAUGCAGUGGCAAGUUUAGUACCACUUGCAUCAAAAGCCAAAGCAGCCAAGGGACUGUCAUGAGCUGGGAUCAUAUUAGCAGCUCUCAGGUUGAUGGUGUCAAAGACCUGUACUUCUCCAAUAGUAGCACUCCCUGGAUAGGCCAGAUAGCAGUUGUCAUUGUUUAUUGAUAAAGCGCACAACCCUGCCGGAUUGGGUGGUGUCUCCCUGAUUGUAUGUAAUACCUUCAUGUCUCGUAUAUUGUGUAUAUAAAGAGACUCUUCCAGACAUACUAUCAGCCUCUGUCUAUUGAGUUUGACAGCCAAGAUGGUGUUGGAGUAACUGUAGUUGCAAAUCUCUGUCCCCUUCUUAAAGUGACAAACCUUCAGCUUACGUGGAGCUUUAAGGCUGACUAUGGCCACCAGACUGCUGGAGAACAGCCUCUCCACGAUGCACACAUCUUCAGUGUCAGUGCAUUCAUAGAUCUGCUCUAAUUUGUCCACAGAAGAAAGAGAGAAGAAUUUGUAGCCUGAUUUACUGCCAACUGCAAGGGAUGUGUUGUCCUGGUUGAAGUUGGCGAAGAGCAGAUGGCCGCUGCCGGCGUCACCGCUCUGCCCGGCCAAGUUCAUGGCGGGACAGCCCUCAGCCACCCCCGUCCGGCGGGGGGACGCCUCCAGCAGGCAGAGCAGCUCAAGCCCGGCGGCCCCGGUCCGCUCCGCACGCCCGCGGCCUCCUCAUCGCCGCCAGCGCCUUGUUUACGCUGCGGGCGGCGGAGAGGCCCCGCGCAGGCGCCGUCCCG
rnacentral:lncRNA from 1 species